rnacentral:rRNA from 1 species
UACGUAGGGGGCGAGCGUUGUCCGGAUUCAUUGGGCGUAAAGAGCUCGUAGGCGGUUCGGUAAGUCGGGUGUGAAAUCUCCUGGCUCAACUGGGAGCUUGCAGGCGAAACUGCCGUGCUGGAGUGUGGGAGAGGUGCGUGGAAUUCCUGGUGUAGCGGUGAAAUGCGUAGAUAUCAGGAGGAACACCUGUGGCGAAAGCGGCGCACUGGACCACAACUGACGCUGAGGUGCGAAAGCGUGGGGAGCAAACAGG